rnacentral:rRNA from 1 species
UACGUAGGGCGCAAGCGUUAUCCGGAAUUAUUGGGCGUAAAGAGCUCGUAGGCGGUUUGUCGCGUCUGCCGUGAAAGUCCGGGGCUCAACUCCGGAUCUGCGGUGGGUACGGGCAGACUAGAGUGAUGUAGGGGAGACUGGAAUUCCUGGUGUAGCGGUGAAAUGCGCAGAUAUCAGGAGGAACACCGAUGGCGAAGGCAGGUCUCUGGGCCGGUACUGACGCUGAGGCGCGAAGGCGUGGGGAGCGAACGGG